CUCACCUAGUGAAAGAGAGGAAAGAACAUUUGAUUUAUUCCUUGCUCGUGUUUGUCGAAGAUGCUCUCUUACAGUGCUAUAUAGCGGUGGUGCAAGCGAAAUCUCACCCCUGUUCGUUUCUAUUGGUUCAAUGGCCUGAGACUAACUAGUCUACGCAUUCUGGCCUCUGAUUAGGGAGCACUAUGAUCUCAAGCAGUUGGCCAUUUCUGCUGUGCGUAUAGGGGCCAGAGUCCUAAUGGAUCACAAACUACUGGCCAAGAGGUAGAAUCCUACCUUCCUCCAGAGGAUCAUCUACCCAACUGCUAAGGCUGGGUAUGGAUUUUUAUUUACACAAAUGUUUUGAUGUCAAUGAUAAGUCUGAUAGUAAUAUUUGCUAGUGCUUGAAUUGAAGGCUGAAGUGAUUAUUAUUCAAAUAAAUUUAGGAGCUUUGUUUACUUGUAGAAUUCGUUUUAAUUACCUUUAAUGAGUUUUCACUUUGGAGUCUUUCAAGUUUUUCUUCUCUUUUACAUUUGUUAACUUUCUUGGCAGAUGAUACUUAAAUUAUUUGGCACUUAGAUUUACUUUCUUCCAAAUUGAUCUAUUGAACUACACUUAAAAUUCGAGUAUUAUGACACAGAUACUGUUAAUGUAAAGUUAACUUUGUGACUGGCUAUCAAAAGGAGUAUUUGAAUAUCUACACUAGUAAGGCUUUGCUUUUUGUUGCCCUCCUUGAUGCUACAAUGACUAAUGACUUUACUCAUUAGGCAGGAGCCUUGAAUUGGAGUGGUCUGUGAUCUCUUAUCAGAUUUACUAUUGGAAUGUUAAUGCCCACGUUUCAGCUUUCUAUAUUUUCCUGCAAGUUGUAGCAUCCAGUUUCUCCUCAGGGCCAGCAAACACUGCUACAACUGCCCCAGCCCCAGCCCCAGCCCCAGCCCCAGCCCCACCCAGCCCCAGCCCCAGCCCCUGCCCCAGCCCCUGCCCCUGCCCCAGCCCCUGCCCCAGCCCCAGCCCCUGCCCCAGCCCAACCAAACCUCAGCCCAGCCCUUGUCCCAGAUUCUCUCAACCUUAGUGUCAUUCCCAAAACUCCAGUCCCCUUCUCCUUAAAGAUAGCCCAAUCUUCACUGAUUGAGUGCUAAAAAUGCAGUACCCAUUCCUUCUCUGGUAAAACUGAGGUAUCCUCUCUGUAGCCCCUCCAUGAUGACUGCCUGAGUCAAAAUUUUCACUUAAUGCAUAGAGUUCUACUUUAUCUGUCCGUGCACUCUUGUCCUUCAUGUUAACAAAGAAACACGGAUGGAACAAGAGUUUUAUAUCAGAGAAUUGCCAUCAAGGCACCAUGUCCUAAGUCUCCUUUCCUUGAGGAAGGAAAAACCAUUCUGUCACUGUUGCAGUAGCCACAGUCCCAAGUGUAGUGCUCAGCUGUCUUUUCUUACAUGUUAUUUUGAGCACUCUUGCACCGAAUAAUUCAAACUGCCCAGAAUUUAUCCAUUGGAUCAGACGGUACCUCUUUGAGCACCAUGUGCAUUCAGCAAAGGACCAAACGAGUCUCCUAUCAGACAAUUAAGGUGCUCAGUCCCAAUUCUCAAAGCCUUGGCCAUUAAAGGGGGCCCUACAUAUUGCUUGCAUGCUGGCCUGGGUGCUCUCACCUUAGGUCACAGCUUUUAAGUUGAUAACAGACAUAAAUUUAUUUGUCGAUGAUGCUGUAUACUAGUCCCAUCGGUUACCCUUACUUACUUCAGCUGAAAACUGCACUGGGACAGCUUAUGUGGAUAAUUCUAAGAACUGAAACCUUUGCUAAAGGUUCACGCUUUACUUGUACUUUUAGUAAAGAGGGUGCUGAUUACCUAAAGCCUCAUACCGCUGUGCAAAGCUGAAAUUGCUCAAGUUUCCUUCUGUUACUAACCAAGAUCCCAUACUCUCUCACCCUAAUGGGUGACAACAAAGGGGAUCGAGGUGCCAAACGAUAAAGUUACUUCAUUGUUCUGGCCUUUUGCCUAUGCUGGAGUUCAAACCUAGAAUCUGUGUACAUUAGUAAAGCACUGUCACACAGGUACAGCCCCACCUUGUGGUGGUUUUGAGAAUAAAGUCUAUGCAGCCUGAGCUGUGCUGGCACUCAGUCCUGCUUCUCAGUCCCAGUGACUGGAAUUACAAGCAUUGCCACCCAUGUCUGCCUGUUUUCAUGUGCACAGCUGCAUUUAUCCCUCAUACUAAGCACUGGAUAAAGAAACCAAAUUCAAGUCGUUUCUUUUGUAUUCAGCAAGACCUUUGAACUCAGAUUCAAUCUGUUCUGUUUUUAAUUUCCAGGCUGGCCUAGAACUUACUGUAUAGCCCUGGCUGGCCUUGAGCUCAGGAUCUAGCCGUUGCUUCACAAGUGCUGGCAUAACUGGUGUCUAACUCUGUGAUCGCUGAUGUGCAUACUUCAUUUCACUGUGGAAGUAUGCAUCUGGCCACACCCUUACCCACUCGUUUAUAUUGCAGCAGGAGGUGCCUAGUCCUUAACAUAAAAGUGCACAGUGUUAACUGUCUCGUCCAUAUUCGCAUGAUGUCCACAGUUGUGCCUUUCAGAUCAGGACCCCUGUAUACAUCAAAGCGAAGGGGCUCAUUGACAUAAAGUAUCUUUCUUGACUACAGAUUGAAAUACCAAUACUGUCAGUGGUCCUUCAGGUGAGACUCCUGUCUCUGAUAGUUCAUAUCCACUUAAAGCCCCUUUCUCAAACUAAUGUACGUAAUGGCGACUUGAGGGUCAGAAUGACCCUCACUUUGAAGUACAGCAAUGGCGUCAACCUGUAAGGUCCCGUUUUGUGGCUUGCUAAUAAUGUCUGAUUGUAUUUGUCCUUUUCUGUUCACUACAAAAGGACGUCGCUGACCACUCUUAUUUAUGCCCUUCCCUUUCAGCAGGGAAUGCACAUUGCCACACUUUAACUGUAUGAACAGUAAAACUGUAAUGGCCACCACCACAUACCUUGAGUAUUAGUGGUCAUUAACUGCACGGGUCUCAUUCCAUUUGAAUAAGAUCCUACUCUCAGACCCUUUUCAGUACAGCAAGGGUCACUCAUCUCUUGGUUUCUCCAUCUUCCUGAACAAUGGAUAAGGAUAUUCCCUCCUUUUCACUAUAUUUAAUUUCUAGGAGCGGCAAUACUUUAAUGUUUUAAUAUUUGCAUAAAGAGUGGUUUUCAUUGACUAUACUAUGUCUCUUUAACAUUAAUGUAAAUAAUAGGGACACAAUUGAUUAAUUUUUUAAUAAAAAUAUUUGGGUGGUUAUCCAUAACCUUAUUACUUUUAGGACCAUUGUAUCUCUUUCGCUACUGCAAAGGAUACUGUUUAUUAAUAUAUACAGUGAAAAUUUUCCUUUGUCAAAGGUCAUACCCCUUCACCUUUCAUUUGCAGUACAUCAGGGAAUUCUGAUCAACCAAGGCUGUCUUCUUUGGACUGUUACUAUGUAGUAUGUAUUUCCUCCUGCUCUGUGCACUAGAAAAGGAUCCCACUCACUUCCUUAUCUUCAUCAGGAAGUGUCACUACUGAAGACUUUGAUUUGGAAAGUUCACAGGAACAUAAUGUCUAAGCAAGCACUUCUCCCAGAACCCCUGUACCUUUUCCUCAGCUUUAAAGCAGAAAGGUUUUUAUUAAGUGUCCUUCAUUUGGACCUAAGUGUGCAUUUAUGUAUGCAGUUGGCCAUCAUUACCUUUGGAGUAGGAUUUUACAUCCUUGUACUCCUUAGACAUCAGAGGCGCGUUAACAAUUUUUGAGCACUUCUCUUGUGAAUAUUAAUAUAUACGCUUAUAUGUGGACCUGUAUAGCAGAAAAGGUUAUGAAGUUUUACCUUUUUACUGGGGCUGCUGAGGAAGAGUAGCUAUUCAUAAUCUCAGCAUCUGGAUAACUACUAUGCAAACAUGUCAAGGAUCUCUGUACUGUCUUGGUCAGUAAGCCCCAGAAUUGUUAGUGUGAAUAUUUAUAAUUAUGAAUGCCUACAGUACUAUGUCUUCAUACCCCCUUUGCAUUACUGCAGAGACUGCCGAGCAACUUUAAAUAUCCAGGACUGUUUAAUGAGCACAGUGACUAUGACCAAUGGCUUGGUUUUUUCCUGAAACUUAUUUUUGGGAUUAUUAAUAGGCACAAUGGCAAUUCUCCAUAGUUUAUUUUCUACUCUUGACGUAUUGAACAAAUCCCCUCCUGGUUUCCCUUUGGCAUGAUAAAGUAAAAUACUGCAGUAUGUCUAUGCCUUGUACACCCAACAGUAACCCAAUUUCCAUCCUUUUGCAUUGCUCUAGUAUAUAAAAAAUCCUAAAGAGCCACAGUCUCAUUCUUUAUAUAGUCUUCCUUUUUGCCCAGCCCCUAGAGUGUCCAAGGUCCACUCCUCUUUCUGGACUACUAAUUCUCACAGUCCAGUCGUUAAAGAAGACUGUGUACCCUUUCCCCAUCCCAUCACUGUCCCUUUUGCUUCUUGGUUGGAUAUGAUUGACUGGGCAAGGCCCUUCUCUUGACUUAAAGUCAACGAUCACAGAAGCCAUCAGUUUACCCCCUUCAUAUUGCUGUAACGCAUCAGUUGCACUUUCUUUGGUCCUAACCCAUUGAAGAGGCACAGACCUCCACUUCCUUCAUUAUUCUGAGUAAUGUCAAUUACCCAAAUCUCCCUGUGUGUCAUUAAUGAGCACAGUAAUGUUUGAUUAUCCAACUUUUCAGUACAUCUGUCCAAGAGUUCCCUACUACUUUGAUGUAUUUAUACACACUAAACAUCAAAAGUAGGCCAAAACUUAAGUGGAUGAGCCUUCACCAUUUAACUUGCAUUUCUUAAUUACUCCAAUUCAAACUGCUGGCACAGUCUUAAGUCCAGGAACCAUUCCUGCCUACAUUUAUUAAUGCUUUACUGUGCAAAAUUUUCCAGGCAAGUCGCUCAGGGAGCUGGAUUGCCACCUUUUAUAUGGGGCUUUCCUUAUACAGUAUCGACUGAAAAUUGUCUCCCUGAGAAGGAAGCUUAGCACAUUUCUCUACAUAUCCUCCAGGAGCCAACUGCCGGCUGAAGAGACUUAAACCCAGUUCUGUGUAUUGCUACUGUACAGUACCACCUGCCAGAAAGGUUAUUGAUGCUUCUGCUCCUUAAGAAAGGUAUCUGGAUUGUCAGGUAGACUUGCUUAUGCUGUCACUAACUUUUCUAAAAUAAAAAUAGCCGUUUGUGUUAUGUAGCUGAUGACCAAGCACUCUCGUUUUACUGAGGGUGGUGUGUUUGUGGCUAGAUCACUUCAACUGUUGUUAUUCCAAUACCAUCAAAGCAGUUGGAGAGCGGAAUGCUUAAGAGCAGUAUCUUUGGUCUGCACUCAAGUUUGAAGAACAAAAAUCAAUCUUUGUGUGGCCUUUAAAAUCAUUAACUUCUAGGAAGGCUAUGUAGCCUUUCUAAUCAUUACAUCUUGUGUGCAGACUGAGCACCAGCCCCUAACUUAUUUUUAAAAGGUGACUGCGAAACGAUUAAACAAGAGAACAUAUCAAGUUGUCUUUGAAAAUUAUUGGCCAUCGCAUUUAAUUAAUUCACUCUAUUUGCCAUUAAAAUCUGGCCCAGAUUUGAAGUACCUUGAAAAGAACCACUCUAAAGUGGGAACUUAGCAUUGAGAUGAUGGAACCUGUUUUCCCGCAUUAUGUUUUAAAACAAGAUCUAAUCAUUCAUUCAUUUGAGCAUACACUUCAAAGAGAGAUCUGUCUAGAAAGAAAUGAUUUUUCUCUAUCGUAAGGGUAUUUUGAGGCCGCCGAGUAUUUUUUUUAAGCUAGUGUGUGUGUGUGUGUGUGUGUGUGUGUGUGUGUGUAUGUGUAUGUAUGUAUAUGUGUGUGCGUGCAAGUACGCUCCUUGAGUAUCUACAUACACACAGCGAUCAGACAACAGUUGAAGCUGGUUCUUCUAUCUUGUGGCUCCUGGAGAUCAAACUCAGAUCAUCAGGCUUGGCAGCAAGUGCCUUUUACCCUCUGAGCCAUCUUGCCAGACUGCUGCUGAGUAUUUAAUGUGAUGUUGCUGAUGAAAAUAGUCAACACAACAGCAGUUCUUCAAAGGUAUUGAAAAAUGAUGCCAUUUUUCUGAGAAGGAUAUCAAGAAACUCACCCAGCUCAAGAUCCAGGUUGAACUACAUACAGCUCUUCAGACAGUUACAGAAGAAUCUCCGGCUGUUAAGAAUAUAGGCUGAAUUUGGACGGACUUGGUUUUGUGCCCCUGAAUCGAGAAGAAGGAUUGCCCAAUUUUAGAAGAGUGAUGGCUGUGAGACGGCAUCUAAAGGAUCGGUCUGUGCAUGAAACUCAAGGACGGCCAGCCGCUGAAACAGGCUUCAUUCAAAUUCAACAGAUCUUUCCUUUGGAGACUCUGGACAAGCUCCAGUCAAUCUGAACAAAUAACUUGGAGGCCAUAUGGAGAAAGGAUUUUCCCUUGGAAGUGUGGGCUUGUGGCUUUGCAGUGCUGGUGAUCCCUAGGUGGAGAUGGAGCAUGAAGAUCCUCCAGGGGAAUGGCUCACCACCCCUGGGCAACAGGCCUAGCCCAGGAGAUUUUAAGGAGACACUUCCUGAACCCAGCGUGGAAGAUAAAGAUAAAGACAAUCACUCUACAUAAAGACAGGAGAAAAGCUGCUGCAGCAAUGGCAGUGAUCACACGACCAAGUCAUUCUACUCUGUCUGGUUCUCCAAGUCUCCCAGGAAGCUCUGGAGGAGAACAUCGCCAGCUGUUCACAUUUUUCAGGAUGCACUGUGCUCCUACUCCACCUACCAAAUCGUUACCCCGCCCCAAAGCUGGGUCAACGGCAGAGUGAAACACCGUGAGGCCAGCUUUACAACCCAAGGACUAACAUGCGUGGAUGCAGCAUCUUAAAACAGAAUGAAACUUUGCUUACUUCUUUCCUUAGUAAAGUGUGUAUUGUGCUGCAUUUCUGUUUCUGGAUUUAUACAUCUGUUUCUUCCUUGCUUUGUGUGUCUUGUUUUAUGCAUCUCUUUCUGCCUUGAUUUCUGUCUAAUUCUUUGAAAUGUGCCUUUCUUCCUUGCUUUGUAUACCUUUUUUGCCUUGGUGUGUCUUUCUUCUUUGCCUUGUGUGUCUUUCGUCUUCUUUGCUUUGUGUCCCUCUUCCUUGCUUUGCGUGUCUUCCUUGCUUUGUGUAUGUUCCCUGUUUUGAUGUCUGCGUCUUCCUUAAGUGUCUCCUUCUUCUCCAUCUACAGUGUGUCUUACCAAUUCCCAUGUUGCUCGUUAAUUUCUCUCUUGUAGAGCUUUGUGCUUUGUUUACCGUUUGCUUACCUGUGUGAUCUGUGUCUCAUCUCAGUCUUUUCUAGCUGGUUGCUUUUUCUCUUAGCUCUCUCUCCAUUCACUUUUUCUGACUUUCAUGACUCCCUUUGGGUCACAUGUGUGUAUCCCUUUCUUCCUUGUGCUCACCUCACUUGUUUUUCUCUGAAGUGUUUGUCAGUCCUUUGAUUCAACAUUUCACACCUUUCUUUAUGCUGUUUCUAUCAGCACAUACCUCUGUUUACUACAUUUCCUUUCUGCCUUUAUUGGGCUGUUUUCUCUUUUGUGCUCCUAUAUGUCUGUGUUAUUUGUGGUUUCUCUUUGCUAUUUGUGGUUUCUCCUCUCAGCAAUCCUGCUGUGUGCAUGCUUGAUUUCCUUUCUUUCUCUUCUACUUCCCCCUUUCUACUUCAAGCAAUCCAGUCUCUUUACAAGUCUGUGUCUCCCUCUCCUAUCUGAUGUAGUCCUCUCCUGGAUAUGUCUUUGUGUGUGUGUGUGUCUGUCUGUCUGUCUUGUGUGACAGGGCUCUUCCUAGCCCCUUUCCCAAUAGGUACAGAAUGUCACCUGUGGAGCUGUUCUCCAGAUCAGACCACCCUGUGAAAUAAUCUACGACGAAACCCAGCACCCCGGUCAGGACAGAAGAAGAUCUGAAAUGAACCAUGUAAAAGGCCCAAAGACAGAUGUUUUCUUCUGCCACCAACAUGACUACCACCGAUUAAGCAAAAAUAUGAACAUCCUAUGGUCAUCUGCUUUGGUCACAUCAAUGAACUUGGAGACAAAUUUGCUGUUGCUAAAGACAAUUUCAUCAUCUUCCCACCAACUUUGAAAGACACUUGGACUUGUGAACUGAUGUGGACUGCAGAACUCAUUGACUCUUCGGGUGUUUUGAAGACUAAAAAAAUGUUGCUUAGAAGGGAUGACCACCAACAUGUCACAAUGAGUCAGUGGGUGGCUGGCUGGCGGAUCUAGUUUGUUGUCAAAUAAAACACUUUGUUUUGAACCCA